AAGUCUAUAGAUUUUACUGAUGC
rnacentral:siRNA from 1 species